UACGUGGGGGGCAAGCGUUGUCCGGAAUUACUGGGCGUAAAGGGCUCGUAGGCGGCCAACUAAGUCCGACGUGAAAUCCCCAGGCUCAACCUGGGAACUGCGUCGGAUACUGGAUGGCUUGAAUUCGGGAGAGGGAUGCAGAAUUCCAGGUGUAGCGGUGAAAUGCGUAGAUAUCUGGAGGAAUACCGGUGGCGAAGGCGGCAUCCUGGACCGACAUUGACGCUGAGGAGCGAAAGCUAGGGGAGCAAACGGG
rnacentral:rRNA from 1 species